UAGGAGUUGUAGUCCUGCGUCAGGAGAACGCUGGCGGCGUGCUUAACACAUGCAAGUCGAACGAUGAAGCUGUGCUUGCACAGUGGAUUAGUGGCGAACGGGUGAGUAACACGUGAGUAACCUGCCCUUCACUUUGGGAUAACUCCGAGAAAUCGGGGCUAAUACCGGAUAUGACUACUGGCCGCAUGGUUGGUGGUGGAAAGUUUUCGGUGGGGGAUGGGCUCGCGGCCUAUCAGUUUGUUGGUGAGGUAGUGGCUCACCAAGGCGAUGACGGGUAGCCGGCCUGAGAGGGCGACCGGCCACACUGGGACUGAGACACGGCCCAGACUCCUACGGGAGGCAGCAGUGGGGAAUAUUGCACAAUGGGCGAAAGCCUGAUGCAGCGACGCCGCGUGGGGGAUGACGGCCUUCGGGUUGUAAACCUCUUUCAGCAAGGAAGAAGCGAAAGUGACGGUACUUGCAGAAGAAGCGCCGGCUAACUACGUG
rnacentral:rRNA from 1 species